AGUGAACGCUGGCGGUAGGCCUAACACAUGCAAGUCGAACGGCAGCACAGUAAGAGCUUGCUCUUACGGGUGGCGAGUGGCGGACGGGUGAGGAAUACAUCGGAAUCUACUUUUUCGUGGGGGAUAACGUAGGGAAACUUACGCUAAUACCGCAUACGACCUACGGGUGAAAGCAGGGGAUCUUCGGACCUUGCGCGAUUGAAUGAGCCGAUGUCGGAUUAGCUAGUUGGCGGGGUAAAGGCCCACCAAGGCGACGAUCCGUAGCUGGUCUGAGAGGAUGAUCAGCCACACGGGAACUUGGACACCGUCCAGACUCCUACGGGAGGCAGCAGUGGGGAAUAUUGGACAAUGGGCGCAAGCCUGAUCCAGCCAUACCGCGUGGGUGAAGAAGGCCUUCGGGUUGUAAAGCCCUUUUGUUGGGAAAGAAAAGCAGCAGGUUAAUACCCCGCUGUUCUGACGGUACCCAAAGAAUAAGCACCGGCUAACUUCGUG
rnacentral:rRNA from 1 species